rnacentral:lncRNA from 1 species
CUGCCAUCAGAGGCACGCGGGGCUCUGCUCAUCUGCUUUGUUGUGAGGGGAAAAACAGAAAUAAAAUAAAGCCCCAGCUCCUGGUGGCCUCUGCGACUCUCGGCUCUAAUGGGGAUGCAGAUCCAGCUCGACAAUUAGCCGGGAGAAGGGGGAAGGAAGGUAAAUAAAAUGAUCGGGGUCCUGCUUGCACUGGAGGAGGAGGGAGGGAAGGUUUGUGCUCCGUGCUGUGUUUGGAACAGCUCAGAGCUCCCGCUGGCUGCUCCAGCCCUCUCCAGAGCUCCCCAGGCCGAGCUCCCGCGGCCCAAGCAGGAAUCUGGGGGUUAAACUGGGGCUGGGAGAGGGUUGGGUGACGGAGGGGGUGCAGGAACGCGGUGCCAGGGCCUCCUCCCUGCCCUGUCCUCAGUCCCAGAGCCAGGCCUCUGUUUCCCCACUCUUCUGUUCCUCUACUCUUCUUUUCUCACCCCUCUUUUUCCCCUCCUCUCUUUUCACAUUCCUCUCUUUUCCCACUCCUGUUUUUCCACUCCUAUUUUCCCCCUUCUCUCUCAUCCCACUCCUCUCUUUUCCCACUCUUCUUUUCCCACUCCUCUUUAACCAUUCCUUUUCUUUCUCCCCUUAUCUUUUCCCCCUCCUCUCCUUUCCCAUUCCCCUCUUUUCCCCCUCCUCUCUUUCCCCAUUCCUCUUUUCCCCCAUUCCUCUAUUUCCCUCCUCUCCUUUCCCAGCUCUUUUCCCAUUCCUCUCUUUCCUCCCUCUUCUCCUUUCCCCAUUCCUCUCUUUCCCCAUUCCUUUCUUUCCUCCCUCCUCUCUUUUCCCAUUCCUCUAUUUUCCCAUUCCUCUCUUUUCCCAGCUCUUUCCCCUUCCCCUCUUUUCCCCCUCCUCUCCUUUCCCAUUCCUCUCUUUCCCUCCUCUCUUUCCCCCCCUUUUCCCACCCCUGCCUGCUCCCAGCCCCAUCCCUCCAUGUAUUUGUUUGCUCUCGCUGUGCCCCGAGGACAGGGAACAGAGACUCCCGGCUAAUCCCCAGAUCCAUUUCUGGGAGACCAAGAGAAGCGACAAAAGCCUGAGCGGCUGCUGGGAUACUGCUGGUACGGCACAAGCUUGGGACGAGGAGGAGGGGAGGGAUCGCUGCGGGGCUGCGAUAAUUGUGCCCACAACUGUCCCCACAACUGUCCCCACAAUUGUCCCCAUAACUGUCCCCACAACUGUCCCCACAAUUGUCCCCAUAACUGUCCCCACGACUGUCCCCACAAUUGUCCUCACAACUGUCCCCACAAUUGUCCCCAUAAUUGUCCCCACA